GCGUGAGUGAAGAAGGCCUUAGGGUUGUAAAACUCUUUCAGAUGUGACGAUGAUGACGGUAACAUCAGAAGAAGCCCCGGCUAACUCCGUGCCAGCAGCCGCGGUAAUACGGAGGGGGCUAGCGUUGUUCGGAAUUACUGGGCGUAAAGCGCACGUAGGCGGUGUAGCAAGUUAGAGGUGAAAGGCCUGGGCUCAACCUGGGAACUGCCUUUGAUACUGCUACGCUAGAGUCCGGGAGAGGGUAGCGGAAUUCCAAGUGUAGAGGUGAAAUUCGU
rnacentral:rRNA from 1 species